rnacentral:lncRNA from 1 species
CAUAAUCUUCCAAUGUUCCUCCAUUCCAUGCAUUCACGCCACCGAUUCUCCUCACCAAAUCAUUCCAUAACCACAAUAAUCUAGAAAUACCAUUUACUAUAAUUAGCUAGUCGUUAAGGGGAAUAUUCGCUGGCACAGUUAGGUCCGGAAAAAAGAAGUCACUACUAGCACCAAUUGUGUCGAAGGUUUUGGUGAUCGUGAUGGUGGAUUGUAGCAUUAUAGUGAGAUCUGCUGGAAAGGAACUUUGGUGACUAUGUUUGAGACCCUUUCGAGAAAAAGGAUGAAGAAGAAGGAAAAGAGUAGAGGAAAGCAAUAUACCAUUUCCCAAUGUUCUGUUCGCUACUGUUUGCAAGUAUUGGCAUUGCUUCCUCCACACUUGGGCCAUUUUCCUCUCUGCGCGAUUGCUGCUGCCAAUAUUGUUGUGCUAUUCUCCCAUAUUUUUUUCCAUUACCCUCAAAUCCCUUCCUUCAAUCUGAUCGCUGUCAUUACUGUCACCCAUUGCAAAAGUGAAAGGUUCAUAUCAUUUUUUUUCUUGUUUUUUGGUAUCUAAUAAUGCAAUAUUUUUGUAUUUUUUUUAGGUU